ACUCUCGAAUGGUCGCUUCCAAUUCGGUGACAUUAAUUGGAAAGUACUAAGUGUGCCCCACUUGAGAGAAUUUGUCAGUGAUGGUGACUUUGAAAAUGUAGAGGUCUCCAAUUCAUGUUCCCAGCUGGACUGGAACAACAUGUGACUGAACGGGGACUACGAAGGCCAGCGAGGAAGCAUGCAGUGCUCUCUGUAAGGGUAAGGCCUGACCAUGCAUUUGGAAAGCCCCGCGGCAUCACAGAGAGGGGAAUCCAGGAGAAGAUGUCCAUGCUCACCUUACCCAGGGACUGGAUCUUCAGAAUUGAGAGCACCACCUCGGGAAGGAGGAAUUGGACCUUCUCCAAGCUUGUGUCCCGAAUUAAACAACAGGUCGACUUGCCUACUCAACCUGUUCUGGUCCAAUAUCACUGUCUGGCAACUGAUGACAUUAGCCUUAUAAACUCCCAGGCUGUUCAAGAAGGUUCCUCUCUGCUGGGAUGCUUGCCAUGCUCCUAAACAUAAAUCGUUCUUGGGCAUCGGAGUACACACCUAACAGCAAAGGACUCCCCCAACUCCUGAGAGUUUAGAGAGUAUGUCUACACCCAAAAUUCCCCUUCCCCAACAAAAGGUGUCUUGGGUUGCCAUUGGUGGAUAUCCCCUCCCAGUCGUAAGGCUCCCACAACAAAAAAUAUGGGGUCAGACCUCUACUUCCCCCAGCCCAAUCUGAUAUUUCUAAAUGAAAAAAAGGAAUAUGUUGCGAGCCAGUAGCUAUCCCAGCAGAAAAAUAAAA